AUCUAGGUGAAGCAGAGACAAGCAGAAGUUACUCGAAUUUUAGACAUUAACAAAAUGAAGUAUGAGUUAAUAGAUGUAUCCAUCAGUGAACAUCUGCUUCAUGAAAUGAGGGUGAAGGCUGGUAAUCCUAAUGCAGUACCUCCUCAGAUAUUCAAUGGGGAUGACUACUGUGGAGACUUUAAUAUGUUAUAUGAAGCAACUGAAAAUGAAGAAGUUUGGAAGUUUCUGAAGAUGGCAUCAAUAGACAAGCCUGCAAGAGAGGAAAUUACUGUCUAAUGGAUGGAUUCUGAUCUUAAGUCCAAAACUAGUUCAGGAAGCAAAUAUACUAAAUAUAUUUUCCCUAGUUGUUCUGUUAAUUAUUUAUGUACUUUUGUAUUUUAGUAUUACAAUAUAGCAGAUGCAGGUCUUCUAUAGUAGACUUCCAUGUUUCUCCGAGAUCUUUUAUUAAACAAAGUAAUUCACAUACAUCUUCUUUUGACCUUUGGCAUGAGGAGAUCUUUUUAUAGUCUAUCGAGAAAGAUUAUAUUGUUAUAUUCAUUGAAAAGAUUUAUUUUUGUGGGACUUUUAAUAAAAGGCAAGUUGUAUAGUAA